GUCUGAGAGGACGAUCAGCCACACUGGGACUGAGACACGGGCCAGACUCCUACGGGAGGCAGCAGUGGGGAAUCUUGCACAAUGGAGGAAACUCUGAUGCAGCGACGCCGCGUGAGCGAUGAAGCCCUUCGGGGUGUAAAGCUCUUUCGACGGGAACGAUAAUGACGGUACCCGGAGAAGAAGCUGCGGCUAACUACGUGCCAGCAGCCGCGGUAAUACGCAGGCAGCAAGCGUUGUUCGGAAUUACUGGGCGUAAAGAGUGUGUAGGCGGUUCUCUAUGUUCGGUGUGAAAUCUCCCGGCUUAACUGGGAGGGUGCGCCGAAAACUGGAGGGCUUGAGUAUGGGAGAGGAAAGCGGAAUUCCUGGUGUAGCGGUGAAAUGCGUAGAUAUCAGGAGGGACACCUGCGGUGUAGACGGCCUUCUGGACCAUCACUGACGCUGAGACACGAAAGCGUGGGUAGCAAACAGGAUUAGAUACCCUGGUAGUCCACGCCCUAAACGAUGCAUACUUGGUGUGAGCCGUUCAUUCGGUUCGUGCCGGAGCUAACGCGUUAAGUAUGCCGCCUGGGGAGUACGGUCGCAAGGCUGAA
rnacentral:rRNA from 1 species